GGGUUGUGAGGUUAAGCGACUAAGCGUACACGGUGGAUGCCCUGGCAGUCAGAGGCGAUGAAGGACGUGCUAAUCUGCGAUAAGCGUCGGUAAGGUGAUAUGAACCGUUAUAACCGGCGAUUUCCGAAUGGGGAAACCCAGUGUGAUUCGUCACACUAUCAUUAACUGAAUCCAUAGGUUAAUGAGGCGAACCGGGGGAACUGAAACAUCUAAGUACCCCGAGGAAAAGAAAUCAACCGAGAUUCCCCCAGUAGCGGCGAGCGAACGGGGAGCAGCCCAGAGCCUGAAUCAGUGUGUGUGUUAGUGGAAGCGUCUGGAAAGGCGCGCGAUACAGGGUGACAGCCCCGUACACAAAAAUGCACAUACUGUGAGCUCGAUGAGUAGGGCGGGACACGUGGUAUCCUGUCUGAAUAUGGGGGGACCAUCCUCCAAGGCUAAAUACUCCUGACUGACCGAUAGUGAACCAGUACCGUGAGGGAAAGGCGAAAAGAACCCCGGCGAGGGGAGUGAAAAAGAACCUGAAACCGUGUACGUACAAGCAGUGGGAGCACAGAGCAAUCUGUGUGACUGCGUACCUUUUGUAUAAUGGGUCAGCGACUUAUAUUCUGUAGCAAGGUUAACCGAAUAGGGGAGCCGAAGGGAAACCGAGUCUUAACUGGGCGUUAAGUUGCAGGGUAUAGACCCGAAACCCGGUGAUCUAGCCAUGGGCAGGUUGAAGGUUGGGUAACACUAACUGGAGGACCGAACCGACUAAUGUUGAAAAAUUAGCGGAUGACUUGUGGCUGGGGGUGAAAGGCCAAUCAAACCGGGAGAUAGCUGGUUCUCCCCGAAAGCUAUUUAGGUAGCGCCUCGUGAAUUCAUCUCCGGGGGUAGAGCACUGUUUCGGCAAGGGGGUCAUCCCGACUUACCAACCCGAUGCAAACUGCGAAUACCGGAGAAUGUUAUCACGGGAGACACACGGCGGGUGCUAACGUCCGUCGUGAAGAGGGAAACAACCCAGACCGCCAGCUAAGGUCCCAAAGUCAUGGUUAAGUGGGAAACGAUGUGGGAAGGCCCAGACAGCCAGGAUGUUGGCUUAGAAGCAGCCAUCAUUUAAAGAAAGCGUAAUAGCUCACUGGUCGAGUCGGCCUGCGCGGAAGAUGUAACGGGGCUAAACCAUGCACCGAAGCUGCGGCAGCGACGCUUAUGCGUUGUUGGGUAGGGGAGCGUUCUGUAAGCCUGCGAAGGUGUGCUGUGAGGCAUGCUGGAGGUAUCAGAAGUGCGAAUGCUGACAUAAGUAACGAUAAAGCGGGUGAAAAGCCCGCUCGCCGGAAGACCAAGGGUUCCUGUCCAACGUUAAUCGGGGCAGGGUGAGUCGACCCCUAAGGCGAGGCCGAAAGGCGUAGUCGAUGGGAAACAGGUUAAUAUUCCUGUACUUGGUGUUACUGCGAAGGGGGGACGGAGAAGGCUAUGUUGGCCGGGCGACGGUUGUCCCGGUUUAAGCGUGUAGGCUGGUUUUCCAGGCAAAUCCGGAAAAUCAAGGCUGAGGCGUGAUGACGAGGCACUACGGUGCUGAAGCAACAAAUGCCCUGCUUCCAGGAAAAGCCUCUAAGCAUCAGGUAACAUCAAAUCGUACCCCAAACCGACACAGGUGGUCAGGUAGAGAAUACCAAGGCGCUUGAGAGAACUCGGGUGAAGGAACUAGGCAAAAUGGUGCCGUAACUUCGGGAGAAGGCACGCUGAUAUGUAGGUGAAGUCCCUCGCGGAUGGAGCUGAAAUCAGUCGAAGAUACCAGCUGGCUGCAACUGUUUAUUAAAAACACAGCACUGUGCAAACACGAAAGUGGACGUAUACGGUGUGACGCCUGCCCGGUGCCGGAAGGUUAAUUGAUGGGGUCAGCGCAAGCGAAGCUCUUGAUCGAAGCCCCGGUAAACGGCGGCCGUAACUAUAACGGUCCUAAGGUAGCGAAAUUCCUUGUCGGGUAAGUUCCGACCUGCACGAAUGGCGUAAUGAUGGCCAGGCUGUCUCCACCCGAGACUCAGUGAAAUUGAACUCGCUGUGAAGAUGCAGUGUACCCGCGGCAAGACGGAAAGACCCCGUGAACCUUUACUAUAGCUUGACACUGAACAUUGAGCCUUGAUGUGUAGGAUAGGUGGGAGGCUUUGAAGUGUGGACGCCAGUCUGCAUGGAGCCGACCUUGAAAUACCACCCUUUAAUGUUUGAUGUUCUAACGUUGACCCGUGAUCCGGGUUGCGGACAGUGUCUGGUGGGUAGUUUGACUGGGGCGGUCUCCUCCUAAAGAGUAACGGAGGAGCACGAAGGUUGGCUAAUCCUGGUCGGACAUCAGGAGGUUAGUGCAAUGGCAUAAGCCAGCUUGACUGCGAGCGUGACGGCGCGAGCAGGUGCGAAAGCAGGUCAUAGUGAUCCGGUGGUUCUGAAUGGAAGGGCCAUCGCUCAACGGAUAAAAGGUACUCCGGGGAUAACAGGCUGAUACCGCCCAAGAGUUCAUAUCGACGGCGGUGUUUGGCACCUCGAUGUCGGCUCAUCACAUCCUGGGGCUGAAGUAGGUCCCAAGGGUAUGGCUGUUCGCCAUUUAAAGUGGUACGCGAGCUGGGUUUAGAACGUCGUGAGACAGUUCGGUCCCUAUCUGCCGUGGGCGCUGGAGAACUGAGGGGGGCUGCUCCUAGUACGAGAGGACCGGAGUGGACGCAUCACUGGUGUUCGGGUUGUCAUGCCAAUGGCACUGCCCGGUAGCUAAAUGCGGAAGAGAUAAGUGCUGAAAGCAUCUAAGCACGAAACUUGCCCCGAGAUGAGUUCUCCCUGACUCCUUGAGAGUCCUGAAGGAACGUUGAAGACGACGACGUUGAUAGGCCGGGUGUGUAAGCGCAGCGAUGCGUUGAGCUAACCGGUACUAAUGAACCGUGAGGCUUAACCUUACAACGCCGAAG
rnacentral:rRNA from 1 species